rnacentral:rRNA from 2 species
GAUGAACGCUAGCUACAGGCUUAACACAUGCAAGUCGAGGGGCAGCAUGGAAGAAGCUUGCUUCUUCUGAUGGCGACCGGCGCACGGGUGCGUAACGCGUAUCAAACCUGCCCCAUACUCGGGGAUAGCCUUGCGAAAGUAAGAUUAAUACCCGAUGUUGUUAUGUUACCGCAUGGUGACAUAACCAAAGAUUUAUCGGUAUGAGAUGGUGAUGCGUCCGAUUAGGUAGUAGGCGGGGUAACGGCCCACCUAGCCUUCGAUCGGUAGGGGUUCUGAGAGGAAGGUCCCCCACACUGGAACUGAGACACGGUCCAGACUCCUACGGGAGGCAGCAGUGAGGAAUAUUGGUCAAUGGACGAAAGUCUGAACCAGCCAAGUAGCGUGCAGGAUGACGGCCCUCUGGGUUGUAAACUGCUUUUAGUUGGGAAUAAAAAAGAGGACGUGUCCUCUAUUGUAUGACCUCAGAAAAAGG